rnacentral:rRNA from 1 species
GCAGCAGCCGCGGUAAUACGGAGGGUGCGAGCGUUGUCCGGAAUCACUGGGCGUAAAGGGCGCGUAGGCGGCCGAGCAAGGUCGCGGUGAAAGCCCGGGGCUCAACCCCGGGUCGGCCGUGGCAACUACUCGGCUCGAGCACUGUAGGGGCGGGUGGAAUUCCGGGUGUAGCGGUGGAAUGCGUAGAGAUCCGGAAGAACACCGGUGGCGAAGGCGGCCCGCUGGGCAGGAAGGGAGAGCAAUCUCCCGGCUGACGCUGAGGCGCGACAGCGUGGGGAGCAAACAGGAUUAGAUACCCUGGUAGUCCACGCCGUAAACGAUGGGCACUAGGUGCUUGGGGGAGCGACCCCCCGAGUGCCGGCGCUAACGCAUUAAGUGCCCCGCCUGGGGAGUACGGCCGCAAGGCUGAAACUCAAAGGAAUUGACGGGGGCCCGCACA